rnacentral:rRNA from 1 species
CUUGCUUCUCUUGAGAGCGGCGGACGGGUGAGUAAUGCCUAGGAAUCUGCCUGGUAGUGGGGGAUAACGUUCGGAAACGGACGCUAAUACCGCAUACGUCCUACGGGAGAAAGCAGGGGACCUUCGGGCCUUGCGCUAUCAGAUGAGCCUAGGUCGGAUUAGCUAGUUGGUGGGGUAAUGGCUCACCAAGGCGACGAUCCGUAACUGGUCUGAGAGGGUGAUCAGUCACACUGGAACUGAGACACGGUCCAGACUCCUACGGGAGGCAGCAGUGGGGAAUAUUGGACAAUGGGCGAAAGCCUGAUCCAGCCAUGCCGCGUGUGUGAAGAAGGUCUUCGGAUUGUAAAGCACUUUAAGUUGGGAGGAAGGGUUGUAGAUUAAUACUCUGCAAUUUUGACGUUACCGACAGAAUAAGCACCGGCUAACUCUGUGCCAGCAGCCGCGGUAAUACAGAGGGUGCAAGCGUUAAUCGGAAUUACUGGGCGUAAAGCGCGCGUAGGUGGUUUGUUAAGUUGGAUGUGAAAUCCCCGGGCUCAACCUGGGAACUGCAUUCAAAACUGACUGACUAGAGUAUGGUAGAGGGUGGUGGA